rnacentral:siRNA from 1 species
UGAAGUGAGACGUUUCCUCGGUUA